rnacentral:tRNA from 1 species
GCCGGGGUAGCUCAAUCGGUAGAGCGUGUGGCUCUUAUCAUAAGAGACAACCUCAAGGUCGCGGGUUCGAGCCCCGCCUUCGGCU